rnacentral:lncRNA from 1 species
AGGCAGUGAUGACUAGACGACCAUUCGAGGUUCUUAGCCUGGCCAGUUCAAUAGCAGCUGCUCUUCAGAUCUAACCGACUCGUGGUUCUUUAAUCUAUGUCUUUGGUUUUUGAGUUAUUAACACUCUGAGGAUUUUGUUUUUUCCCAUGAUUCUUUUGUUCAGAAGAGGGUAUUGUAGCAGCUAGCAAUCAUAUGUAUAAUGAAUAAAAGCUCAAAAAAUCGUCGAUUCGCUGCAAAACGUUACUGGUUUUUUUUAUCUAUCUAUGGAUCUAUAAGAAGGCAAUUAUUUAUGUUACAGUGGUUCAAGAACAAGGGGAAGAAACGAAAGCAAAUCAUCUGGUGUAAAGGAUGAAUUCACUUCAUUUUGUUGGUGGCCUUCAUAUAGCUUAAAAGCCUUUUUAGUGCUCGACCACUAUCGAUGGCCUCUCUAGCUCGAUCCAGGGCUGAAUAUAUGUCGUUCGAGUCGUCGCAUCCCAGCAAGUGGUCGAUCAUUCCAGCGUUCAAUACAAUACGAUCGUAUGCUG